rnacentral:lncRNA from 1 species
CUCAUCGAACAAUUAAUUAAAAAUAUAAUAUUGCAUUUAUGAAAUAUUUAUUAAGACAACCGAGAAGAAAACUAAUACUAAUCCACACAAUUAAUGAAAUGUUCGAAAACAAGAAACAUAGGACUAGAAAGGUGAAAAACCAUAACGACUUCAGAAAGAAAAAAAUGACUUCAAAAACAAAAAAGCCUAAGCCAACCAGCUUUAUAUUAAUACAAAAUAUCAAUUCAACUAGUAGUGCAUCAAGUUCCAACUGAAAAUUCAAUGAAAAAUAUGACCAACGUUCCUCGAAUGAUAACAUAAAACUAACCACAUUCAAUUAUAUUAAUAUUUGGAUUUAUGGUCUAAGAUGGUGGAGGAGCAUUGAAACCCAAGAAUGGCCGUCCGGCGGAGCAGAGGGCGGCAGAGGAGCUACAAUCAUGCAUUGUGUUUUCCAACCUGUGAAACCCAUUCUUGAAUACACCAAAUCCGAACAACAAUCCAAUGGCCACAACCACCAAUAUAACGCACAGGAAGAAACAACAAACCUUAGUCCCACAACACAUUUUUUAUCCCUUUCGUUUCUAUAUUGACCGAAAAACAAAAUCUGGAUCUGGGUUUUUGGAUCAAGAGAGAUGUGGGUGUUAUUGCACUUGUAUUGCUUUGAGUGGAUGGUGGGUGGUUAUAUGUUCUUGAAGCGGUUAUUCUACGCAGUGUUUUAGGUGAGUGAGGAAUAAUAUUAUUCAUAUUAUAG